CACAGAACCCUUCAUUUCCCUCCCCUCCCUUAUAGAUAUGAAGCAUGCAGUGUUUACAAAGUCAAAUAUAUUCUUUAUUAUUUAUAAAGCACCAACAGAUUCAGCAGCGUUGUACACUAUGUGGACUAAAAGACAAAACAACAAGACAAGUUGGACGCACAGGAACAGAGGGUGUAGAGGCCUGGUCAAACAGGCUUACAUUCUAGAUGGAGUGGGG